rnacentral:misc_RNA from 1 species
AACAUCGCGCACCUGCGGGAACCUGCGGAGGGAUCAUUAACAAGCCCGUGAAGAUCUACCCCCAAAAAGGGUAUGAUCUUUCACCCGGCCACCCUUGUUUACUUUAAACCUGUUGCUUUGGUGGGCCCGCCUAAAAAGGCCGCUGGGGGACCGAGUCUCCGGGUGAGUGCUCACCAAAGUCCUAUUGAACUCUUUGGAACUUAUGCUGUCUGAGCAUGCGGAAAAAUGGUUAGAUAAAAC